rnacentral:rRNA from 1 species
AGUGAACGCUGGCGGUAGGCCUAAUACAUGCAAGUCGAACGGCAGCACAGUAAGAGCUUGCUCUUACGGGUGGCGAGUGGCGGACGGGUGAGGAAUACAUCGGAAUCUACUUUUUCGUGGGGGAUAACGUAGGGAAACUUACGCUAAUACCGCAUACGACCUACGGGUGAAAGCAGGGGAUCUUCGGACCUUGCGCGAUUGAAUGAGCCGAUGUCGGAUUAGCUAGUUGGCGGGGUAAAGGCCCACCAAGGCGACGAUCCGUAGCUGGUCUGAGAGGAUGAUCAGCAACACUGGAACUGAGACACGGUCCAGACUCCUACGGGAGGCAGCAGUGGGGAAUAUUGGACAAUGGGCGCAAGCCUGAUCCAGCCAUACCGCGUGGGUGAAGAAGGCCUUCGGGUUGUAAAGCCCUUUUGUUGGGAAAGAAAAGCAGCAGGUUAAUACCCCGCUGUUCUGACGGUACCCAAAGAAUAAGCACCGGCUAACUUCGUG